rnacentral:tRNA from 1 species
UGGCUAGUAGCUCAACGGUAGAGCAAUCGACUGUUAAUCGAUGGGUUGUAGGUUCGAAUCCUACCUGGCCAG